rnacentral:rRNA from 1 species
UACGUAGGUGGCAAGCGUUGUCCGGAUUUACUGGGCGUAAAGAGCGCGCAGGCGGUCGGAUAAGUCGAAUGUGAAAGCCCCCGGCUCAACUGGGGAGGGUCAUUCGAUACUGUUCGACUCGAAGGCAGGAGAGGGAAGUGGAAUUCCCGGUGUAGUGGUGAAAUGCGCAGAUAUCAGGAGGAACACCGGUGGCGAAGGCGGGUCUCUGGGCCGUAACUGACGCUGAGGAGCGAAAGCGUGGGGAGCAAACAGG